rnacentral:rRNA from 1 species
GGGGAAUAUUGCACAAUGGGGGAAACCCUGAUGCAGCGACGCCGCGUGAGUGAAGAAGUAUUUCGGUAUGUAAAGCUCUAUCAGCAGGGAAGAUAAUGACAGUACCUGACUAAGAAGCCCCGGCUAACUACGUGCCAGCAGCCGCGGUAAUACGUAGGGGGCAAGCGUUAUCCGGAUUUACUGGGUGUAAAGGGAGCGUAGACGGAGUGGCAAGUCUGAAGUGAAAACCCUGGGCUUAACCUGGGGACUGCUUUGGAAACUGUUAAUCUAGAGUGUUGGAGAGGUAAGUGGAAUUCCUGGUGUAGCGGUGAAAUGCGUAGAUAUCAGGAAGAACACCGGAGGCGAAGGCGGCUUACUGGACAAUAACUGACGUUGAGGCUCGAAAGCGUGGGGAUCAAACAGGAUUAGAUACCCUGGUAGUCCACGCUGUAAACGAUGAAUACUAGGUGUCGGGGUGCAAAGCAUCUCGGUGCCGUCGCUAACGCAAUAAGUAUUCCACCUGGGGAGUACGUUCGCAAGAAUG